AUGUCCGUGUCAGGGCUCAAGGCCGAGCUGAAGUUCCUGGCGUCCAUCCUCGACAAGAACCACGAGCGAUUCCGCAUCCUCAGCUGGAAGCUGGAGGAGCUGCGCUGCCAGGUCCUAGUGCCCGGCCAGGCUGCCCCGCCGGCCGCUCACGCUCCACGGCAACAUCACGGAAUCCGAUCCAACUUCUUCACCGAGAUGGUUUGCGGACUCUGAUGACCCAAAUCUGACAUGAGUUCUGGGACGUCUAGAAGACGCUAAGAACAACAAUUCGCUUUGUCAGCAAUUGAAGUGGUUGAUAUGUGAACCCUGCAGAUUAUAUAACCUUCCUAAGCACCUGGAUGUUGAGAUGCUAGAUCAACCACUACCCACGGGUCAGAAUGGGACAGCAGAAGUGACUUCAGAAGAAGAUGAAGAAGAAGAGAUGGCUGAAGAUACAGAAGACUUAGAUCACUAUGAAAUGAGGGAAGAAGAGCCUAUUAGUGGGAAACAGUCAGAGGAUGAAGGAAUUGAAAAAGAAAAUUUGGCAACCUUAGAGAAAAUUAGGAAGACUCAAAGGCAAGACUAUUUAAAUGGUGCGGUGUCUGGGUCAGUGCAAGCUUCGGAUAGACUUAUGAAAGAGCUCAGGGACAUAUACCCAUCACAGAGUUAUAAAAUAGGGAUUUAUUCAGUGGAACUCAUAAAUGACAGUGUAUAUGACUGGCAUGUUAAACUGCAGAAGGUAGACCCUGAUAGUCCUUUGCACAGUGAUCUUCAGCUCUUAAAAGAGAAAGAAGGCAUAGAAUAUAUAUUGCUUAACUUCUCUUUUAAGGAUAACUUUCCAUUUCAUCCUCCAUUUGUUCAAGCGGUAUUACCUGUUCUCUCAGGAAGGUAUGUAUUGGGCGGAGGAGCAUUACGUAUGGAACUUCUCACAAAACAGGGCUGGAACCGUGCCUACUUGAUAGAAUCGGUCAUCAUGCAAAUAAACGCCACCUUAGUCAAAGGCAAAGCCAGAGUGCAGUUUGGAGCAAAUAAGAAUCAGUAUAAUCUAGCAAGAGCCCAACAGUCUUAUAAUUCCAUUGUANCCCUCCCGCCGGAGAUG